GACGAACGCUGGCGGCGUGCCUAAUACAUGCAAGUUGAGCGCUGAAGGUUGGUACUUGUACCAACUGGAUGAGCAGCGAACGGGUGAGUAACGCGUGGGGAAUCUGCCUUUGAGCGGGGGACAACAUUUGGAAACGAAUGCUAAUACCGCAUAAAAACUUUAAACACAAGUUUUAAGUUUGAAAGAUGCAAUUGCAUCACUCAAAGAUUAUCCCGCGUUGUAUUAGCUAGUUGGUGAGGUAAAGGCUCACCAAGGCGAUGAUACAUAGCCGACCUGAGAGGGUGGUCGGCCACAUUGGGACUGGGACACGGCCCCAACUCCUUCGGGAAGCAGCCGUAGGGAAUCUUCGGCCAUGGACGAAAGUCUGGACGAGCAACGCCGCGUGAGUGAAGAAGGUUUUCGGAUCGUAAAACUCUGUUGGUAGAGAAGAACGAUGGUGAGAGUGGAAAGCUCAUCAAGUGACGGUAACUAACCAGAAAGGGACGGCUAACUACGUG
rnacentral:rRNA from 1 species